rnacentral:rRNA from 1 species
GACGAACGCUGGCGGCGUGCCUAAUACAUGCAAGUCGAGCGGACUUGAAGAGAAGCUUGCUUCUCUGAUGGUUAGCGGCGGACGGGUGAGUAACACGUAGGUAACCUGCCUGUAAGACUGGGAUAACAUUCGGAAACGAAUGCUAAUACCGGAUACGCGGUUUGAUCGCAUGACCGAACCGGGAAAGACGGAGCAAUCUGUCACUUACAGAUGGACCUGCGGCGCAUUAGCUAGUUGGUGAGGUAACGGCUCACCAAGGCGACUAUGCGAAGCCGACCGGGGAGGGUGAUCGGCCACACUGGGACUGAGACACGGCCCAGACUCCUACGGGAGGCAGCAGUAGGGAAUCUUCCGCAAUGGACGAAAGUCUGACGGAGCAACGCCGCGUGAGUGAGGAAGUCCUUCGGGAUGUAAACCGCUGUCAGGGAAAGGAAAGUCCACUUCGGUGGAUUGAUCCGACCCAAAGGAAGUCACGGCUAACUCUGUGCCAGCCGCCGCGGUAAAAC